UCCUACGGGAGGCAGCAGUGGGGAAUAUUGCACAAUGGGCGAAAGCCUGAUGCAGCAAAGCCGCGUGAGUGAUGAAGGCCUUCGGGUCGUAAAACUCUGUCCUCAAGGAAGAUAAUGACGGUACUUGAGGAGGAAGCCCCGGCUAACUACGUGCCAGCAGCCGCGGUAAUACGUAGGGGGCUAGCGUUAUCCGGAUUUACUGGGCGUAAAGGGUGCGUAGGCGGUCUUUCAAGUCAGGAGUGAAAGGCUACGGCUCAACCGGAGUAAGCUCUUGAAACUGGGAGACUUGAGUGCAGGAGAGGAGAGUGGAAUUCCUAGUGUAGCGGUGAAAUGCGUAGAUAUUAGGAGGAACACCAGUUGCGAAGGCGGCUCUCUGGACUGUAACUGACGCUGAGGCACGAAAGCGUGGGGAGCAAACAGGAUUAGAUACCCUGGUAGUCCACGCUGUAAACGAUGAGUACUAGGUGUCGGGGGUUACCCCCUUCGGUGCCGCAGCUAACGCAUUAAGUACUCCGCCUGGGAAGUACGCUCGAAAGAGAGAAACGCAAAGGUAUGUCCGGGGACCCGCAUUAGUAGCGGCGCAUGGGGUUUCGUUCGAAGCAACGCGAAGAAUCUUACCUAAGCGUGACAUACCAAUGACAUCUCCUUAAUCGGAGAGUUUCCUUCGGGGACAUUUGUGACAGGUGGUGCAUGGUAGUCGUCAGCUCGUGUCGUGAGAGGUUGGGUAAAGUCCCGCAACGAGCGCAACCCUUGUCUUUAGUGGCCAUGAUUAAGUUGGGCACUCUAGAGAGACUGCCAGGGAUAA
rnacentral:rRNA from 1 species